rnacentral:ncRNA from 1 species
UCUCGCCUGUUUAGCAAAAACAUGGUUUAUGGUGUGAUUAUCAUAAAUUGGGCCUGCUCGGUGUAUUAUUAACAGCCGCGGUAACUUGACUGUGCAAAGGUAGCAUAAUCAUUAGUUUUUUAAUUGGGGGCUGGAAUGAAAGGUUUGACGGGGA